UACGUAGGGUGCGAGCGUUAAUCGGAAUUACUGGGCGUAAAGCGUGCGUAGGCGGGUCUUUAAGUCAGGGUGAAAUCCGUGGAGCUCAACUCCAGAACUGCCUUUGAUACUGAAGAUCUUGAGUUCGGGAGAGGUGAGUGGAACUGCGAGUGUAGAGGUGAAAUUCGUAGAUAUUCGCAAGAACACCAGUGGCGAAGGCGGACUCACUGGCCCGGUACUGACGCUGAGGUGCGAAAGCGUGGGAGCA
rnacentral:rRNA from 1 species